AUUGAACACUGGCGGCAUGCCUUACACAUGCAAGUCGAACGGCAGCGGGGACUUCGGUCCGCCGGCGAGUGGCGAACGGGUGAGUAAUGUAUCGGAACGUACCAUUCAGUGGGGGAUAACUAUCCGAAAGGAUAGCUAAUACCGCAUAUUCUGUGAGCAGGAAAGCAGGGGAUCGCAAGACCUUGCGCUGAUUGAGCGGCCGAUAUCAGAUUAGCUAGUUGGUGAGGUAACGGCUCACCAAGGCUACGAUCUGUAGCGGGUCUGAGAGGAUGAUCCGCCACACUGGGACUGAGACACGGCCCAGACUCCUACGGGAGGCAGCAGUGGGGAAUUUUGGACAAUGGGCGCAAGCCUGAUCCAGCCAUGCCGCGUGAGUGAAGAAGGCCUUCGGGUUGUAAAGCUCUUUCGGCCGGGAAGAAAUCGCAUCAGCUAAUACCUGGUGUGGAUGACGGUACCGGAAUAAGAAGCACCGGCUAACUACGUGCCAGCCGCCGCCGUAA
rnacentral:rRNA from 1 species